ensembl:lncRNA
GGUUGAGACACCGACACGAUGGCAGCAUAGAGUAACAGCUCCCGAGUAUUUAAAAUUCUCCAUGCUCCAUAAACAUCGAAUUACAUUUAAGAACUGAAAAUAUUGAGUUAGAGGGGCAAGGAUGUCAGCUAGGGGUAAAAAAGAAGGAAAAUAAAUAAAAAAAAAACAGGGCAAACUGGGACUCAAAGUGGAAAUGCUGACGCGGCUAGUCCUGACGGAGAACCUACGGCUAACCUAGCUUUGAUCCUCCAAGAAUUAAGAGACUUUCGACAGGACAAUAAAUUCCAACUGGAGGAAAUCAAAGGAGAAAUAACAAAAACCAACAAUAGACUGGAGGAGGCCGAAGACCGAAUCGAAAAGGCAGAAGAAAGAUUACUAAAUGUUGAGGGUGUUCUGUCAGAAAUGUUAAAACUCCAUGCUCAAAUGGAGACAAAAUUAACCGAACAGGAGAGCCGCUCACGACGAGAAAAUAUCCGCCUAUAUGGGAUUUCAGAAGGGGCCGAAAAGGAUAGUGCAUCAGUGACUGAGUUUGUAGAACAACUGCUGGGAAAUAACCUCGACAUUGCUGAUACAACAACUCUACAAAUCGAGGGAGCCCAUCGCUCACUUGGACCUAAGCCACCGCCACACGCACAGCCAAGAUCUAUCGUUGUCAAAUUCGCCAGCUUCCGAACCAAAGAGAUGGUACCAUAAAGCAUGGCAAAAGAAGGGCUUGAUGUUGGAAGAAACACGUAUUAAUGUUGACAAUGAUUACCCGCCACGCAUUCUGCAAAGGCGAAAAGAAUAUACGGAAGUAAGAAAAGCUCUCAAGGAGCGAGACAUUAAGUUUCAAACGUUGUUCCCUGCCCGGCUGAAAUGAAAUUCCGGGAAGGAGAGAAGAUAUACGACACCGUGGAAGAGGCAACGAAAGAUUUGUCUAAGAAGGGAUUCAACGUCGUGCCUGUCAAGCAACCUGAGACAAUGAUGGAGCGCCUACACAAACUAAGUUGGCAGAGAAGUGGACGUGCGUGACAAGUGGAAAGCACUAGCUCUGGAACCUCUCACUACAAAGAGCGGCUGCAAGCCUUCCGAAGAGAUGAUCCACCCCGGAACGUGGACAGUGGAUAGUACCCUGAUGCAAACAGAUUAUCCAACUGAUUCAAUCUCCCGCCCUGGUUUG